UAGUUUUUAACGAUUUAUCCUAAUCUUUAUGGUUGUACUUCUAAUGUAAUGCAAACCCAUAAUACAUAGAGUAAACUUUUUAUUGCAAAAGGUAGAUUCUUUAACUUGACUAUUAAGGGAAAAAUUGAAAAACUUGAAUUUAAUGGAAUAGAUGGAUGAUCUCUCAUAAAAGAGCAUUGGGAAUAAUCCUCAAAUCUCCCUUCUGUAAUUCAUCAUAUGCUGCAACUAAAUUGACAAUAAUUUUCCAAUUAUUAUCUUCUGAACCCUUCUACUAUCUUGGUUCUGGAGGAGCCAUCGCUUGUGUGUUAAUCGGUGAAGGUUCUGUUGGGGUUGGAGUGGGUGGUGUUAUAACAUUCUUCUUGUCUGUGACUAUCGAGAAGCGAUUGGAACCUCCCAAGCUGUACCCCCCUAUGCUGUCUAUGGACUUCAUAUACUCAGAUGCAUUGUUCUCUAUGAUCAAAGCAUCUUCCAACUCCCUAACAAUGUCAGCCAUGCAUGGUCGAUAAGCAGAGAAGGGCUCAAUGCAUGCCAAUGCAGCCUCAACCACUCUCCACAUUGCCUCUGCAUGAUAUGCUCCCUUUAUGCUAGGGUCCACAAUUUCAUCAAUCUUUGACUCCCUUAUAAAGGGUUUUGCCCAUUCAACCAAGCUCCAUUCAUUCCGCGGCCUGUGGAUGUUUAGAGGUUCCCGUGCACUUACAAUUUCAAGGAGAACCACCCCAAAGCUAAAGACAUCACUUUUUGCUGAUAGAUGCUGCGUUGAAUAGUACUCUGGAUCCAAGUAGCCAGCAGUGCCUCUUACUUCCAGAGAAGCACCACUGUCCCCUUCCUGAGGAGCAUAUUUUGAGAAGCCGAAGUCUGCCACCUUGGCAUUCAUGCUUUGAUCUAGAAGUAUGUUGCUUGACUUUACAUCUCUGUGUAUAAUGCAACGGCCAGAAAAUGUAUGAAGAUGUGUCAAACCUGAAUAAUGAAAAAUAAUCUUAAACUUUCUCACAUUGUCAAUUAUAAAUGCAUAAGAAAAAAACUUUAGGGGAAUAUAAACUGAGAACAGGGACCAGGUUAAUCAAACAAUGUGAUUUUGAUAAAAUUGUGUCAGAAAACAAUGUCAAACUGGAAUUUUUGAUUGACUGUAAUCCAUUGCAUAGAUUUUUUUUUUUUUGGUACUAUAUUUGCACCACCUUUUGUCCAAUACUCCCUAACCAUGAGAGAGAAUUUGUUCAUUGCACAUGGAUUUUUCCCUUUAGGCUUUUACAGUUAAGAUCUGCCGUGGCUUGUACAAUCCAUUACAUGUGUGGUACGUAAUAUCCUGAUCCGGAUUCCAGAGUGAUAAUCCUGGACAGACCUGUCAUAUUUUUUGGCCCGUCUUUUGUUCUUCGCAGCAUUUUAGCCAUGCAAAGCAUGCCCAGAAGCUACAUUUGUAUCAACGUGUUCCAUUUCACUGACAUAAAAACCAUUUUGAGUGAGCCUCAUGUAUUUUUUUUAAGAGCAGAAGUUCAGCACUAACUUUCUAACUGACACCUACUGAACUGUUGAUAAUUGAUACCACGUAGAUUGGUCUAACUUUGUCACAAUACUGCCUCCAAUUUGUGAAGAAAAUUCAGAAUUUAAUAUAUGUUGUUAUGUUGCCUGUUAGUUUUCUAUGGUGAGUGGUCAGCUAUCUUGCUUUGAGGGCAUUGAUGGAAAUUAUAUGAUUAUUUUUACUUGAGACAUUGAUGUUAUGUUCAUAGUAUAAUAAGUUUUUAACAUUAGUCUAAGCAGUAGGAAAGAAGUUGAGCCUAAUUUUCAUGUCAGAUAUUGGUACAGAUAGAACACAAGAAAAUAGUAAAUGCUUAAUAUCUGUACUAGUUACUUGCCUCGAGCAGCACCAAGAGCAAUAGAAAGUCUGAUUGGCCAAUCCAGAGUCUUCCUUUUAGCUGCUUCCCCUGUUAUGAGAAAUGGUUGUUAGAAAGAGAUGAAUGUCAAAACAAAUUAGUGGAUAGGGCUUUUGAUGAGAAGUACCAUUUAGGCGAUCUUGCAGAGAGCCAUUGGACAUGAAUGGAUAGACAAGGAUCUGUUGGUCAUUUUCACAACAAUAACCUAGAAGGGGUACCAGAUUCUCAUGACGGAUGGAUGAAAGAAGGUUUAGCUGUAGCAUACAUAGACAACAUUGUCAGUAGGCAUAUAUUUUAGACAGACAGAAACCCUAAAUGUGGAGUUAUGCAGAAUGGAGAUCUACUUUAAUCUUUUAUUUUCUCUGAUGAAAAGAGAAAUUGCAUAGAUGAUGGGCCAAGAAAUGUUAACAAGGGAUGUUAUUUGAUAAAAUCAUGAUAAUUUUAAUGGUGCACAAAUUUCUAUCAGAAGUCACAAACAGCACGGGUAAACUGGGGAGUGAUAAGAUGAUAAUUGUCAUUUCUAUAAGCUCAGCACAAGGUUUCUAUUUGGUAUUUAAAUAACAAAUUUAUAGCUAGUAGGUAAUAGACAGAAAAGUACAAUUCAAAUGCAUUGUUAUACCUCGUUCUCAAAUUCCCGAGUUCCUUGAAUUGAGGUGGAUGAUCGGACUUUCACUGCCACUUCUUGACCAUCAGGCAGUAUGCCACGGAAUACUGAUCCAAAACCACCUUCACCUAUCAAGGUUUUAUACUUGUGGGUGGUAUUCUCUAUGUAUUCUAGGGUAAAUAUUUGAAUAGUUAUCGACUUCAAAGCUACAUCAUCCAAGCUUGGCAGAGAGAAAAUGGCAUCUGCAUAUAUGUAGGAAACUUUUGUUGAGACUUGAGAGAUGCUUAUUUUGCCCUAGGAGUAUAGGACACAUUGCAAAAGAAUAUUUUAUUGACCAAAACAACAGUUAGCUGUAAAGUUGAUUGAGCAAUAAGCAUACUAUAGACGUGUGAGUGCAUGUAUGUAAAAAUUUAUGUGUGCACUGCACAUACAAGUACUUGCACUUGCUUUUGUCAUCCCUAUGCAUUUUAAACUGGAUGGAAUUUUUUUGUUGUUUGUAGUACUGCUUUGUAUGUCAAGAUGAUAAGAUCUUUGAUUGUACUUUAUAUGCUUCUUUAUUCAAGUUUUUCUAGGCAUGUUUGUAAAUAAUUUCCAAAGAAUGGAAGAAAUUCUGGGCGAUUAUAUCCUAUAGAUGAUAUCUCUGAAUGUACCACGUUAGAUUAUAAUGGACCUGAAAAUAACACAAACCAACUCAGGUUAAUGCAUUUGUGAUAAACAGAUAAAACAUACCGGGAACUGAAAUUAUCUAAACUUGAAGAUCUAAGUUAGAGGCAGAUGCUAUGAUUUGAGACUGUCGGCCAACAUUAAUGAUGAAUUUACUCACUCUUUGUCAUAGGGAGUAGUUUUACAUCAAAGUUUCCCAUAGCCAUGAACUUUUGUCUGUAAAUGCAAACAAAAGCAAAUCCAAGUGCCAAUAUGAAGGAUCCACAUGCGACAGUGCCUAUGACAAUUCCUUGUAUUUUACUUGUUGAUCUUUGUUCGGCACAUGCCUCAUAACUGAAACAUAAUACUUGAGUAUUAGAUAUUUCUUCCAUUCUUGAAUAAUGAAUACUGAAUCUUUAUGUGCACUGUUAAGGCAUAGAUUUUCAAUGUCAUACUCUGUAGCAAGUCUUGAGCAGUUAAAACUGAGAGGCACAGUGCUGAGAGAAUUGCCUCCACAGUAUAGUAUUGUCAAAUUUGGAAGCGAGGUCAAAGAAUUUGGAAUAGAUCCAUCCAGUUCAUUGUGGCUUAGAUCCACUGAUGUUAACUUGGAGUACGAUGGGAAUUCUGGUAUCUUGCCAGUAAAUUCAUUGUUGCUAACAUUCAAUUGCAUUAGGUUGUUCAUCCUAGUAAUAUUAGCUGGAAGCUUCCCACGUAGAUGACUUGAGGAAAUAUCCAGGCUGGUGAUCACUUUGGCCCCAUUCAUGGGUUGGCAUGUCAGACCUUUCCAAGGGAGGGGUAGACAUGGGUCUCCUGACCAACUCUGCAACAGUUGAUUUUCUUUAUUAUGCGAAAGCAGUUCAUCUCUCACCAUCUUUAUUGUGUCCACGUCUUGCUGGUUAGUUCCUUGAAUCCAUGGGUACACUUGUAGGAUCUCAUAAGCAUUUAAAAUGGGCCCAAAGACAGACCUAUUUGUGACCUUGACUAGGGUCAAAUUUAGAGACCCUUUUGCUGUGACAUUCAGUUCAACUACAUUAUAAUGUGAUCCAUUGGCCUGUAUGUCAAAUUCCUUCUGGUGAAUCUCAUUGUUAAUGUAUAUGUUAAACACCCUUUGUUGAGGUUUUAUAGUGAAAUUAAGCUCAAGAAAGUAGAGGAACAGAGUGUAGUUGUGGUCUUCUGCAUCAAGGCUCCUGUGUAGGAACUCCAAUCUGUCUGUAUGUGUUAGUGCUGUUUGGAGAACUUUAAGAGGCACUGUUGUGCUAUCAUUAAGGAUGUUGGAUGUAGCUGGUGUCGGAUCUGGUGAUAUCAAAACUGUAUUGUUGUCGAGUUUUUCCCAAAUUCUAUCAGAAUAAUCAUCUGGGUACCUGAUAUCAUCUACUGCAUUUCCUACAUCAAUUCUGCUAACCAAUUUCAAAACAUCAGAAGCUUUUCCCUGUAUGUUUAAAUGCUCCGAAUAUUCCAGGGGCCUGAGUUCAAGCUGUGAAAUGUAUGGGUAUCCCUUGUCAUGCACUAAGCAAAGAUCUAUAUAACGAUGUGUAGCUCUAAAAAUGCCCUCGACUGUCAAAUUCUCAACUGUGUUCACUGUGCUUAUUUGUGUGACACCAAUCAAAACAUCAAAGGAGCACAAAGAUUCCACUGAAUCUCCAUAAAGAAAUGUAACCCUUAUUAGAUAGUCUUGGUCCUUAUUUGUUGAUAAGUUAUAACAUCUCUUCCCUGAAUCAAUUUUGAAAACCCGAACAUCAUAGCUUGUGGAAUUUGCUUCUGCCCUGGUUAUAUGUCGGCAACUUGCUUCAUCUGGGAACCAUCCAGAAUCUGACAUCCAACUUAUUUUGUUGUCAUCUGUAGAAUUUGAUGCAGCGCAACAUUUGAUGCUGACAAAACCUUCUUCUGCACAAAUCAAUGGAAUAAGUAUGAACAGGAAAACAGUAAAACUAUCGACACUUUUUACAAUCCAGUUAUGCAUUCCCAUCAUCUUCUCAUCUUAAACGGUGCUCGCCCCAUCUGGUCAUCAAAUUCAUAAUCAGACUAGCCGUUUUUGCAGGUUGUGAAUUUUCCUGUACUCCACUAGCUCAAACCUGCAGUUUUCUUGUCUGAGUGAACCUAUAGAGACAGAUUUAGCUAUAUUCUCUCUGAUGCUUGAAAUUGAAAUCUAAACAAGAAACCACGGCAACAACAGAAGGGCAUCAGAGAGGAGAAAAUUUUGAGGAAAAAGAGGUUGAUAACAAAGGUUUGACUUCAAAUAUAGAAAUUAGAGAAGGAAGGAAGAUAGAUGAGAAGGAG
rnacentral:misc_RNA from 1 species